rnacentral:tRNA from 1 species
GGGCCCAUAGCUCAGUCUGGUAGAGCACUCGGCUAAAUCUUUAUAUAAAGAUUUAUGGGUGAAGCUCUUAACCGAACAGUUUCAGUGAUAUACUGUGCUGGGUAAAGUGGUCGGGGGAUCGAAGCCCUCUGGGCCCG